GGAGAGAGCUGCGCUCAUAGAAGAAGCUCUCAGACCAGUCAGUGUCUUCAUGGAGUUAUGCACCUCUGAUGCGCCGCUAUGGAUUGCAAUUCGCGAUCGCAGCUUUUCGUUUUGACUCUUUUGCUGUGUCUCGUGCUUCCAGCUUUCGCCAUUGUCUACCCACCGAAUGAAGUGAACCUGUUAGAUUCUAAGGCAAGCCAAGGAGAGUUAGGAUGGAUUUCCUACCCGUCACAUGGGUGGGAGGAGAUCAGUGGAGUGGAUGAGCACUAUACGCCCAUCAGGACUUUCCAGGUGUGCAAUGUGAUGGAGUACAGCCAGAACAAUUGGCUUCGCACCAACUGGAUCCCUCGUCAGUCAGCCCAGAAGAUCUAUGUCGAACUGAAAUUUACACUGAGGGACUGCAACUCCAUCCCAUUAGUCUUGGGGACUUGCAAAGAGACCUUCAACCUACUCUACCUGGAGACGGAUGAAGACCAAGGUAGUCACUUCCGAGAACACCAGUUCUCCAAAAUUGACACCAUUGCUGCAGAUGAAAGCUUCACUCAAAUGGACCUUGGCGACCGCAUUCUGAAACUUAACACUGAAGUUCGUGAAGUGGGCCCCAUGACCAAGAAAGGCUUCUACCUGGCAUUCCAGGACGUGGGUGCCUGUGUAGCUUUAGUCUCUGUGAGGGUUUAUUUUAAAAAGUGCCCAAACACAGUGAGGAAUCUGGCCUCCUUUCCUGAUACAGUCCCCAUCGACUCCCACUCACUGGUUGAGGUGAAAGGUUUAUGUGUCAAUAACUCGAAAGAGGAGGAGCCUCCGCGAAUGUACUGCAGCACAGAGGGCGAGUGGCUUGUGCCUAUUGGAAAAUGUCUGUGCAAUCCAGGCUAUGAAGAAAGGAGCAACACCUGUCAAAUGUGCAGGGCUGGCUUUUACAAAUCCACACUUGGAAACAUGGAGUGUUCCAAAUGUCCGCCUUAUAGUUAUGCUCACCAUGAAGGGUCAUUGCAUUGUGAAUGUGAGAAAAACUAUUUCCGUGCGGAUGGAGACCCAGCCUCCAUGGCCUGCACACGCCCUCCCUCAGCUCCUCGUAACGUCAUCUCCUCCAUCAACGAGACCUCCGUUAUCCUAGACUGGAGCUGGCCAGAGGACACGGGUGGCCGCAGGGACCUCACCUUUACUGUCCUCUGCAAGCGAUGCCGCGUCGGAGCUGCAAACGGAAGCAAUGGUGGCAGCCCCAGAUGUGAGCCCUGCCGAAGCAACGUACGCUUUCUUCCAAGAGCCACGGGCCUCCAAAACACAACCGUGACAGUGGGAGACCUACUAGCUCACACCAACUACACGUUCGAGAUUGAGGCACAGAAUGGAGUCUCGUCACUGGCGCCAAUGAUGAGGCAGUAUGCCGCUGUUACCAUCACCACCAAUCAAGCCGCUCCCUCUCCAGUAAUAGUGAUCAAAAAGGAGAAGACGUCACGGAACAGCGUUUCCUUGUCAUGGUUGGAGCCGGAGCGACCGAAUGGUAUUAUCCUCGACUACGAGAUCAAAUACUAUGAAAAGGAGGAGCAGGAGACCAGCUACACAAUCCUUCGGGCCCGGGGUUGUAAUGUGACUCUGAACGGUCUCAAGCCCAACACUGCCUACCUGCUGCAGAUCAGAGCCCGCACAGCAGCAGGAUAUGGAGCCAGCAGUCCCAGUUUCCAGUUUGAGACCAGUCCUGACUCAGCCUUCUCCAUCUCCAGUGAGAGUAGCCAGGUUGUUGUGAUCGCCAUUUCAUCAGCAGUGGCCAUCAUCCUGCUCACUGUGCUGCUCUACGUCUUGAUUGGCAGGUUUUGUUGCCACAGCAAAUCCAAACACCCUGAUGAGAAAAGACUCCACUUUGGCAAUGGCCACUUGCGUCUGCCCGGUAUUAAGACCUAUGUCGACCCCCACACAUACGAGGACCCAAGCCAGGCUGUGCAUGAGUUCGCUAAGGAGCUGGAUGCUUCCUGUAUAGCCAUUGACAAAGUGGUGGGAGCAGGUGAGUUUGGUGAGGUAUGCAGCGGUCGUCUGAAGCUGCCCAGUAAGAAGGAGAUCUGCGUGGCCAUCAAAACUCUUAAAGGAGGAUACACAGACAAACAGAGGCGGGACUUCCUUUCUGAAGCGUCAAUCAUGGGACAGUUUGACCAUCCCAACAUCAUAAGGCUGGAGGGUGUGGUGACUCGCAGUAAGUCAACCGUGUUCUUCAUGAUACAAAGCCAUUUUACAUCUGUCGACUUGAUCUCCAUAUCAAGACUUCAUUUUCAAAGUAAGCCUGUUAUGAUUGUGACAGAAUACAUGGAGAAUGGCUCACUGGACAGCUUUUUAAGGAAACACGACGCCCAGUUCACCGGAAUUCAGUUGGUUGGUAUGCUUCGUGGCAUCGCCUCAGGCAUGAAGUAUCUGUCAGACAUGGGCUACGUUCACAGAGACCUUGCUGCUCGAAACAUCUUAGUCAACAGCAACCUGGUGUGUAAAGUGUCAGACUUCGGCUUGUCAAGGGUCCUGGAGGAUGACCCCGAAGCUGCUUACACAACAAGGGGAGGUAAGAUCCCUAUUCGGUGGACAGCUCCAGAAGCAAUUGCAUACAGGAAGUUUACAUCAUCAAGUGAUGCUUGGAGUUAUGGCAUCGUGCUCUGGGAAGUAAUGUCAUAUGGGGAACGGCCUUACUGGGAGAUGUCCAAUCAAGAUGUAAUAAAGGCUGUAGAUGAGGGUUACCGCCUUCCCCCACCCAUGGACUGCCCAGCUACACUUUACCAGCUGAUGCUGGACUGCUGGCAGAAAGAAAGGAACAACCGGCCCAAGUUUGAACAGAUAGUCAGCAUCCUGGACAAACUUAUACGCAACCCUGGUAGUCUGAAAAUUACAGCCAACACCACAUCAAGGCCGGCCAACUUGUUGUUGGAUAGAAGUAGUUCAGAGGUUCCCUCAAUGGGGACGAUGGGUGACUGGAUGGAUGGAAUGAGGACCUUGCCCUGCAAUGAGGCCUUCUCUGGGGUCAGCUACAGCUCUUGUGAUACCCUGGCUAAGGCUUCCACAGAUAGAGUGAUUCUGACAGAGGUCCACGUCACACCAGCUACUUGCCCAGAAUGGGAGCCGUCCAUGGGGAUCACCACUCUCUAACACGCAGUUCCUCUCCUUUUGAUUCCUUGGACUCUGGAUGGUGGGUGGUGCAGCACAGCCAAGGCCCUCCUCGGGAGCUGAACAUGAACUGUAGAACUUCUCAUUGGCCUUCCCUUCUGGGUUACAAGGGGAUAGUUAGUGAUAAUGUGAUAGCUAUGUUUCUAUUCCACAAUACAUGCAUCACAUAUAGCCUGUUCCCAUUAAAAACAUGCAUGUCCACUUUAUUAAAAACUUCACAAUAUUUUAGCUAUGCUAACUGAUGCUGAUCCAUGCUAACGGAGGUAUCGAUUUGUCUUGUUCAAGCACACAAAUGGGCGGCUACAUUUGGCUUUAACUUUUCAAUCUAAAAGAGAAUAUAAUUUCUUGAAGAGGAAACUUGUAUAAGGAACCUAAACAGGUGAUUUUGUAAGUAUUUACUGACACAGAUAAAAUUGAUUUAAUCUGUCUAAUAGUCAUUUUUUUUAGUGGUUGGGCAUGCAUGUUUUUGGUUAGAUGAUAAUGAUUUAAAUUUUAAAAAUUGGAGCAAAAUUUGUGAUAAAUGCCAAUACAAAUUUACAUAUUUCAAUGUUAAAUAUUGUGACUCAGUAUUUCCAUCAUGUGGAUGGAAACUAAGCUAUCAUCUCCUUUUUGCAAACUAAUGCUGCUUGUUCCUGCAAGUCCUUUAUUUGUAUUGUUUGUUUGUUUUUUACUACAAUUCUGAUACACUUAACAUGUAACCUGCCCCUUUGUGUUGAAGCACGGAUUGAACCAAUGUCUUCUCUUAAAGUCUGCUGCUUUGCAAAACCGAUCUCCUGUUUCCAUAAUGAACUAUUUCUCGUUACACUUACCAAACUAAAAAAAAAGAAAAAAGCUAAAAGAGGUUUUGUAGUGUCAUCACUUGGACUGCUACUUAUCAGCUUCUACUAAUAUUUUAUUAAAAUGUAUGCACCUGAUUAGUGAGUUCUCAAAUGAGUUUGUAAUUUCACAGACACCAUUGUAUCUGCGCUGCUGAUGCAUACCCAAGGUUGAACUGAAGCGGUAGCUCUUAACGUGCAAUUUUUCUUCCCAAUUGAAUAGUCUUUUUUUAAUUGCAUGUUUAAUUAUAAAUCAUGUACCAGUUGUGCUCCUUUCCCAAUACCCCUACCUGUCUGUUGGAUAAAAUUCAGUGCAGGGAACCAGACCAUUGCAUGUGAUUGUUUCUUCCAAUGGCAGGUCAUAACUGCAACUGUCAGUGUAUUGCCAAAGGCUUAUGUUUUUGAUUAUUAGUGAUGGCGAGUCGAGGCAUAUCCUCAUUCAGAGCAGUGGCAGCUGACUGGCCUUCUGGGAAAUGCAGUUCAGUAUGAAUGGCAGCUGCAUGGGAAAGUGAAGGGAGCCGUGCUGGGAGCAUGUCAUUAAAUGUCACAAAGAUGUCACAUCCUUCAUCACUAAUACACACUUUCUAUCUCUUUUUCUCCCAAUCUUUUCCUCUGUCAUGUCCUGGCCCGUCAUUGUGUCUGGGAUUUGAAAAAGGUUGGAGUGACAAUUGCAGGACCACAGAAGAAGAUCGUGAGCAGCCUCAAAGCCCUAGAAUCUCACACCAAGAACAUCCCUGUACCUGUUUAAAAGCUGAAGUCAACAGAGGAAAAUCACCAGGAGCAUGGCAGCAUAUUACUUGCUAAUACACACAGUGUAUACAAAGUGAUAAUGGCAGAUAACUGAUAGGGAAUUUAAAAAUUAUGGGCUUUUGUUGAACACAUUAAGUCCUGCCAGAGAAAUAGAAAGAGCCCAGUGCAACAAACCAGUUAACUGGCUGACUCUUGACUUUGAUCCAUUCUCAAAUUGAGAUGCCUUAUAGACACAAAGAGUGGCGCUGGGUUGGGUUUAAAGAUGCACAUUGUGAACUAACACAGCCGAACAGAACUGGUCAGGGAUAAAGCCAUGUUGGCUGGACUGGAUUGCGAGGAGGAACAGAGGCCAAAGCUGCAGCCCUCAGUACCAAUGAACGUGGAUGGCAUUUCUCUCUGUUUAUUGCCAGCCUGGCAUGCUUGGUGGCUUCUCCCUUUACACCCGGUCAGCAACAUGUGUCAAAGAAGAUGGUUGGCAUGGCAGCAUGGACGACAGCAGCAGCAACUGAUCCAGUCUGGACCCUUCCUGGACUGAUGAAGAUUUUUUUUUUUUUUUUGCAACUACCUACAUAUUAACCCAAUCUGUUCUUAUCUUUAGCAUUCUGUAGGCUUCUCACAUCAAAGCAAUAAUGAUGAUUAAUGUAUAGGACUGCUUUGUUCAGAAGCCAUGAUCAUGCUACACUCGCAGUGGAUUGAACAGCAAGCUUUGGACGUAUAGGAGCAAUAACACACUUCACACUCUUUGUUUUACAAAUGUAAGUUAAAUGUGAUACAAGCAGAUGUUGUAACGUUAUAGUGCGGUUUCGACCUUUGUGUGAAAUCUCAGGAUGCACACGUUAUUUGAUCUGUAUUUUCUCUAACAAGCGGAAACGGAUGAAGUGAACAGAGCAAACCGGAGCGGGGAAUUGAGAGUGCACGGUAAGAGAGAUGCGACUGAGAAAUUGUGUUGGAAAUGGGGCAUAAAAGAUAAAGCAGUUUUUCCACACCUCUCCUUCAGAUAUUCUUUUGUGCAAUGGAAUUCAUUUUCAACUCCAAGUGUAGUUGUACUUGAUUUUAUUUUCCUGGGAAAAAACCUCUUAUUCAGCAACCAUAAUUAGAUUUUCCUCAGUUAGGCCGGACAUACACUGAAGACUGAAAAUGUAAGACUUUUUCCAACCUGAGUCCUUGUCAGGCAACUUACUUUUAAAUAUGGCACAAUUUAAAGUCAGGUUGGGCCUCACUGUGGGAUGAUCUGAUGACCUGUGACAAAAAUGUGUCAGAAAUUUGCUCUACCCUCAUAGUUUUCUGAGACAGUUGAAAUUUCAACUACAUUUCCAAAGCUUUGAAACUUUUUCUUCCUAUGCCAGGACAAAGUAGAUGAAAACUAUCUUAGAAGCAUAAUGAUAAGGGAAGUGACCCCAUCACCGUUGGCUUUGUUUUUCAGCAUUACCAUAGAUGGAAAAAAAACUCUUCUUCAUGGUUUGUGUUGACAGUCUGCAACACUUUAAAAUGCACUGGAACAGCAAUGACCCAAAUGUGCCGAUAAAGAAGUUGUAGCCUUUGGUGGAAUUGAACAACACAACUAAAUCGUGCAGACUAUGCCCAGCACAAAAAAAAAUUGCCGGUGAUAUGAAAAUGAUAGUCUGCUAUUCUUCGUCUAAAGAACAUGAUAAACAAAAGCUGAGGGAAAACAGGUGUUAUAUUUUCUUGAACAAAUUGUUGAUGAGGGACAUGAGAGUUACAGUCUUCUAUCCUUAGUUUGAAAACAUGUCUAACAAGAGCCAAGGGAAUACAUGUUUUCUAUUUUCUGGAAUGAAGUGUUGAUGGGGUUAAUGCAAAACAUUGACUGCCUUAUUAUGUUUGGGUUGGACCCUGUUGGUUGUUCACCAUGCAAACCUCCUGUUAUGUUUAAACUGUAUAAGAUUUAGCACCAUUACCAUUUACGAAGUAUGAUGUUUUCCUUAAAACUGCUAAUAUAAGAUCAAAAUACAUAUGUCCAUAAAGGGAUUCCAUGAAUGCACCUUUCCAUUUGGAUGAUCCACAAUAUAGAGGGACAUCAGCAUGGAUUCUGGUGAAUGACACAGUAUUAUGAACUGGUGCCGCUUUAUACUUUUGGAUGAGAAACAUUCAACGACAGUACAAGGGUGCACUCCAAAUGCACUUAAUACACAAUGUGUGAGCACUUUCCUUUACGUAGGAAUUGUAUCGGCUUGGCUGGAGAUUACAUUUACCCUGUGAACAGAGAUGAUGUCGGUGCUUUUGGAGAACUCCAGCUCUGUUCACAAUAUCAGUAUAUCCGGUGUUUUACCUGUGGAUGCUGGUGUUGCUGCUAUGUGAUCAUGCUGGUGUUGCUGCUAUGUGAUCUGAUUAGCAUGUACAUAAUGUGAACCAUGAUAACUAUAUAGCAACUAGCCCGACAGAUCCUGCAAUAUGUACAUGCCAUUCUUCUUUGUACAAAUUUUUGUAUGUAUAAAAAGAAUACAAAUUGUGCAACAAUUUUAAUUAAAAAAAGAGACAAAAAGCAUCUGUAUUAUACUUUAUCUUGUUUUGAAUUAUAUUUGUCAACCUGUUUUUAUUUUCUACAAUAAAAACACAAUUGUGGUUACAUAAUUAUUUAUUUGUUAACAUUACACAGCACAGUGUUUGUUAUUUUUUUGGUUGUUUUUUUUUCAAAUUUUACAGUAAAUUAUCUGUCAGUGUUAAUCUAUGUUUUGUUUUUUUGACUUAUUUUAUCAACCUGGGAAAUCUGAGAGAGCAAUACUUGUUAUGCACCCCAUAUCCAGAAAACCUUCCUUUCUGUCUCAAAACUGACCCGUGUGUUUGUGUGAGAGUUUACGUCUUGAAACGUAGCUGGCCUUGUCAACUAAUGUAAGAGGAUUUGUAGUGGAAACAUUUAUAUUUUUAUAAUAAAUAUUCUCAAAAUAUUUUCCAAAAAAGCUA